rnacentral:rRNA from 1 species
AGCCAAUAGAUACCCUGGUAGUCCACGCCCUAAACGAUGUCUACUAGUUGUUGGUGGAGUAAAAUCCAUGAGUAAACGCAGCUAACGCGUGAAGUAGACCGCCUGGGGAGUACGGUCGCAAGAUUAAAACUCAAAGGAAUUGACGGGGGGCCCGCACAAGCGGUGGAUUAUGUGGAUUAAUUCGAUGCAACGCGAAAAACCUUACCUGGCCUUGACAUGCCACUAACGAAGCAGAGAUGCAUUAGGUGCCCGUAAGGGAAAGUGGACACAGGUGCUGCAUGGCUGUCGUCAGCUCGUGUCGUGAGAUGUUGGGUUAAGUCCCGCAACGAGCGCAACCCUUGCCAUUAAUUGCCAUCAUUUAGUUGGGCACUUUAAUGGGACUGCCGGUGACAAACCGGAGGAAGGUGGGGAUGACGUCAAGUCCUCAUGGCCCUUAUGGCCAGGGCUUCACACGUAAUACAAUGGUCGGUACAGAGAGUUGCCAACCCGCGAGGGGGAGCUAAUCUCAGAAAGCCGAUCGUAGUCCGGAUUGUUCU